rnacentral:rRNA from 1 species
AGUGAACGCUGGCGGUAGGCCUAACACAUGCAAGUCGAACGGCAGCACAGUAAGAGCUUGCUCUUACGGGUGGCGAGUGGCGGACGGGUGAGGAAUACAUCGGAAUCUACUUUUUCGUGGGGGAUAACGUAGGGAAACUUACGCUAAUACCGCAUACGACCUACGGGUGAAAGCAGGGGAUCUUCGGACCUUGCGCGAUUGAAUGAGCCGAUGUCGGAUUAGCUAGUUGGCGGGGUAAAGGCCCACCAAGGCGACGAUCCGUAGCUGGUCCGAGAGGAUGAUCAGCCACACUGGAACUGAGACACGGUCCAGACUCCUACGGGAGGCAGCAGUGGGGAAUAUUGGACAAUGGGCGCAAGCCUGAUCCAGCCAUACCGCGUGGGUGAAGAAGGCCUUCGGGUUGUAAAGCCCUUUUGUUGGGAAAGAAAAGCAGCAGGUUAAUACCCCGCUGUUCUGACGGUACCCAAAGAAUAAGCACCGGCUAACUUCGU